GCGCGCCUAGCUCAGUUGGUUAGAGCAUCUCGUUUACACCGAGAGGGUCAGGAGUUCGAAUCUCUUGGCGCGCA
rnacentral:tRNA from 1 species